GUGUCCCAACCUCCCACAUGAUGAAAUGAUCCUUUUAAAGCGGGCUCAAUAUGUCUCAAUCUGCACUCCUCUUCUCUCUCUAAAGCUGCUGGGUUCGGGACACAGCCCAGAAAUAUAUUAAUUAAAGCUCACUACUACAGACUCUUCUUUUGCACAGUGGAAGAAACGGUUGGAUCAAGUCAGGCUCUGUCAAUGACGGAUGGAUGAAGAUUCACGGCAGGAAAAAAAAAGAAAAGAAAGGAGCUGCUGCGCGUGGUGACAGUGUUGGAGGUCUCCUCUGCCUCCUCGCCCUCUUUCGCCUCCAGGACCUCACUGAAGAACCUGAAGAUGGAGAUGAAACUCAUCCAGGAGAAGCGAUCAAUGGCACAGCGCUCCCUCGUUCACCCUGAACUGGCGGUGAACUCCUGCGGAACGCUGCCAGCCUCUCCACCCUAUCCCAUCGCAGUUCGGGGUCACCAGGGGGCCGCCUCUGUGCCAAUAUGCAGAUGAGACUGUGCCCCUCCAAUGACUCUAGUGUUAGAAUCCACCCCUCUAUAUGGUGGAGGCUUUGAGAUGACUUCCACCUCCCCACCCAGACAAGACUCACACACAGAGACAUAAACCCAGUCUCAUAUGGGCUUAAACAGGCCUUUAACAGCUUACGUCCACUCUUCCUUUAAUAGCCGAAGUGUGUCGAACCUAAUGGAUGGUGUCAAAGCUGAGAUGUGACCACUGAUUUAGAGGAGGAGCCUAAUUGACCAGGCUUCAAUAGCCACUAGAGAGACAGAGGAGAGAGAGAGAGAGAGAGAGAGAAUUACCUCAGCUAUGCCACAAAUCAAAGUAAUAUCUUUAAAAGAUGUUGAGAUCGACGAGGUGUCAUCGGGCUGUAUCUUGUGUGUAAAGUGAACCCAUAAACAGCUAAUAAAUACUACUCUAUCCUCAGUUUUAGUCCCUUGCUGAAAAAGUUUUUCAACUAAUAAGCAAACAUUUUUUUUAUGAUCAAUUGAUUUCAUGUAUUGUUAAAACAAGAUAUAACAGGCAAAGAGCUCUUGCAUUACCAUGAUUUUAAUCAUAUUUUUUAUCUUGUGUUUAAUUGAUCAAACUUUGAAAAUAAAAUACCUUCUGUAUUUAUGUGUGCUUUCUUGCAUUAACUAUGAAUCAAUUAAGUUGCAUUCGCUCAUU